UGGGAACUUCAUAUUCCUAAUUGAUAAUGAAAUUCCAUAAAACAUAAAUCGUCUCUAGAGUUUAGCAAAAAUGGAGUAUUUAUCAUGUGAAAAGCAGUACUGGGGACUGGCCACUCCAAUACGUGCACUGUUCACAAGAUGAGUUGCAACCUCCAACUUGACUAGCUUCAGACAACCCCUGCUACGCUUUCUGUACCUGUAAAUCCAUUGUUACCUGUUCUAGAAUUGAAUGCUGUACAAGAAGCAUGGCGGGGAGGCCUCAGGAAACCUACGGUCGUGGCUGAAGAUGAAGAGGGAAUCCUGUCUUACGUGACUGGAGCAGGAGGAAGAGUGGUGAAGCAGGAGAUGCUACGCGCUGUUAAACAACCAGUUCUUGUGAGAACUCACUAUCUCAAAACAGCAAGCGGGGAUAUCGGUCCUCGUGAUCCAAUCACAUCCCAUCAGGCCCUUCUAACAAUAUUGGGAAUUACAAGUUGACAGGAGAUUUGGCCAGGGACACAAAU
rnacentral:lncRNA from 13 species